UGCCAGCCGCCGCGGUAAUACGUAUGGUGCAAGCGUUAUCCGGAAUCACAUGGGCGUAAAGGGUACGUAGGCGGUUUUGCUAAGUCAGAAGUGAAAGGCUACGGCUCAACCGUAGUAAGCUUUUGAAACUGCAAAACUAGAGUUCAGGAGAGGUAAGUGGAGUUCCUAGUGUAGAGGUGAAAUUCGUAGAUAUUAGGAGGAACACCAGUGGCGAAGGCGACUUACUGGACUGAUACUGACGCGGAGGAACGAAAGCGUGGGGAUAGAACAGGAGUAGAUG
rnacentral:rRNA from 1 species